rnacentral:rRNA from 1 species
UGGGGAAUGUUGCACAAUGGGGGAAACCCUGAUGCAGCGACGCCGCGUGAUUUAGAAGGCCUUCGGGUUGUAAAAAUCUUUUCUAUGGGAAGAAAAUGACAGUACCAUAGGAAUAAGGACCGGCUAAUUACGUGCCAGCAGCCGCGGUAAUACGUAAGGUCCGAGCGUUGUCCGGAAUCAUUGGGCGUAAAGGGUACGUAGGCGGGUAAGCAAGUUAGAAGUGAAAUCCUAUAGCUCAACUAUAGUAAGCUUUUAAAACUGCUCAUCUUGAGGUAUGGAAGGGAAAGUGGAAUUCCUAGUGUAGCGGUGAAAUGCGCAGAUAUUAGGAGGAAUACCGGUGGCGAAGGCGACUUUCUGGCCAUAACCUGACGCUGAGGUACGAAAGCGUGGGUAGCAAACAGG